rnacentral:lncRNA from 1 species
AAAAAGAAGCAGGCCCUUGCCAGAUACGAGUUUGCCAAUGCCUUGAUCUUGGAAUUCCCAGCCUCCAGAACUGUGAGCAAAAGGAUGUGUGUAUGUUCACCCAUACGCUGCACAAAUAUGUAAUGGACACCAGCCAUGACCAGCCUACUGGGGACUGCUUGGCAGUAGCAACACGGCAGCGAACAAGACAGAUGAGCCUCCUGCCCACAGAAGCUUACAUUCGGGUGGAAUACAGGCUGCAUGAGCAAAGAAGAUGACCACACACCUGGGGGAGAGUCAGAUGGCUUCUUCAAUUGGAACGUUCUUCCCUAAGGAUGAGCUAAUAUAGCACAUGACCUGAAAAUCCUUCUGGGAGACUCCAGGACCCUUGGUCUUGAAGAUGGGAAAUAAAUGGGUGCAUGACAGAAGUUAAAGACCAUUAUUAGGUAUCAAGUACCAUAGCACUUUUUGGAGGCAGAAGAGCUUGACAAAUGGGCAUAGUGUACAUAGUAAAUGAUGGUAAGGGUAAAGGAUAAAAUGUAUCAUCUUCCUGUCAUCAGAAUGGGACCAGCACUGUGUAAGGUGGGCAUGUUAAUGACAUGAUAUAUAAGACAGCUUUUGCUACAAUAACA